rnacentral:rRNA from 1 species
UACGUAGGGUGCGAGCGUUGUCCGGAAUUAUUGGGCGUAAAGAGCUUGUAGGCGGUUUGUCGCGUCUGCCGUGAAAAUUCGGGGCUCAACCCCGGACUUGCGGUGGGUACGGGCAGACUAGAGUGUGGUAGGGGAGACUGGAAUUCCUGGUGUAGCGGUGAAAUGCGCAGAUAUCAGGAGGAACACCGAUGGCGAAGGCAGGUCUCUGGGCCACUACUGACGCUGAGAAGCGAAAGCGUGGGGAGCGAACAGG